UCCAGACUCCUACGGGAGGCAGCAGUGGGGGAUAUUGCACAAUGGGGGGAACCCUGAUGCAGCGACGCCGCGUGGGUGAAGGAGCGUUUCGGCGCGUAAAGCCCUAUCGGCAGGGAAGAAGGAGGACGGUACCUGACUAAGAAGCCCCGGCUAACUACGUGCCAGCAGCCGCGGUAAUACGUAGGGGGCAAGAGUUAUCCGGAUUUACUGGGUGUAAAGGGGGGCGCAGACGGCAGCGCAAGCCAGGAGUGAAAGCCCGGGGCCCAACCCCGGGACUGCUCUUGGAACUGCGCGGCUGGAGUGCAGGAGGGGCAGGCGGAAUUCCUGGUGUAGCGGUGAAAUGCGUAGAUAUCAGGAGGAACACCGGUGGCGAAGGCGGCCUGCUGGACUGCGACUGACGUUGAGGCCCGAAAGCGUGGGGAGCAAACAGGAUUAGAUACCCGGGUA
rnacentral:rRNA from 1 species